rnacentral:rRNA from 1 species
UACGGAGGGGGCUAGCGUUGUUCGGAAUUACUGGGCGUAAAGCGCACGUAGGCGGCUUUGUAAGUCAGGGGUGAAAUCCUGGAGCUCAACUCCAGAACUGCCUUUGAUACUGAAGAUCUUGAGUUCGGGAGAGGUGAGUGGAACUGCGAGUGUAGAGGUGAAAUUCGUAGAUAUUCGCAAGAACACCAGUGGCGAAGGCGGCUCACUGGCCCGAUACUGACGCUGAGGCACGAAAGCGUGGGGAGCAAACAGG